CCAGCUAUACAUGGCCAGAACUUCCCAAAUAGUCUAAGCUAAGGAGAAAAGUCAUCGAGAAGGUAGAGGAAAUAAAAGAUCGGGAGCAAGGCUGUUUGGAGAUAGCGAGGCUCAUCCAGUUACAUCGCUCCCUGCCUCUCAGCAGACGACAGACAAGGGUGCCUUCUUCUGGGAAGAAGCGGUGCCGGAUUGCUUCCCCUGUCUUUUAGGCUCAGCAUGCCGGAGCUGGAAGGAAGCUUCUAGAACAGCAACUUUGCUCUCCUCUUUGGCUGAGGAGGCGGGGGCCUGUGUGAACAGCUCACAGGGCAAACCAGGCCUCCUUCUCUUCCCCACUCAAGUCUGUCAAUCGGCUUCCACUUGUGACUCACAUCUCUGAGCUGCUUCCCAUAAACCGAGGACUGGAACGGAAGGGCUUGCCUUGUUUUGUUUUGUUUUGCUCCAUCGAAGAACACAUUUUGAAGACGUGGAGGCCAGGGCUGAGAUGACUCUUAGUAGACAAUCACCUUAUAUUCAAAAUGACACUAUGAGGAGACUAGCUGUUCCACUUUAUAAAUUCUGAAGUUCCAGCUGGGAGGCCAUGUGUGGAGAUGAUUUGCUUGGCCUGUUCAGCAUCUGCCUCCCUGGUGGCUCUACGACUCUUUACUUCACUCGGCAACUAUUCAUCACAUGUCCACCACAUGCCUGGCACUGAUCUGCAGGCUUGGGUUUCACUGGGGAGAGUAAUGGUGUCUUCCUCUGGCUGCUGGUACAUCACAGGAAGCCCUGCGAAAUGCUCGAGGCAGCGCCUGUCACUCAGCCAGUAUGCAGGCUUCUGCUGCCCUGUAGCUGCUCCUGCGGUUGCAGCUCUGUUUGGUUGCCAUGGUGCUGUGCUGGGACAGUGUCUGCAGGGUGUGGUGAUGGGAGUCAUUUGUUCCCUUGUCUGGUGCUCCUAGGGGUGAACAGGUGCUGCAAUCAGGAGAAGGAAUGGCCGGCUGCCCUAGGGUUGGCAGCAGAGGUCAGGGCCACUCUAACUGGUCUUGAGGUGCCUUUGCUAACCUUUAUGUGGGUGUGCUUUGGGCCCUUUUGGUUCUUGGACUUGGCUGUGCAUGCAGUAUGGGUGAGAAGGCCCCUGCUACAUUCUCCUGAUUGCAGUAAUUAGGGCAUAGGUUCUGGCUUGAGCUGGCUGUGUGAUCAGCCUUGGAUCUCAGAGUCUUCAAGUCCACAUUAGUAGAGUAGAGGUAAUGUUGCUCCCUUCUGGAGGAUUCUGGGAGGGCCAGAGGAAACUGAAAGAUGGAGGACUACACAAUAGAUGUCACAGUAUUUAUUUCCAUCUUCCAGCUCACUGAACGGCUCUAAUCUGCUAAGCAUGUCUGAUCAUGCCAACUAUUUUAGUUCGUUUUGAGUGCUAUAGCAAAAUACCAGAAAAUAGGUAGCUUAUAAAAACAGAGAUUGAUUUCCUAAUGUGGUGGUUUAAAUUAGGUAUCCACAAUAAACUCAUUUGUUCUAAAUGCUAGUUUCCCAGCU